GAAGGACCUGCACCUCCGCCCACA
rnacentral:piRNA from 1 species